rnacentral:tRNA from 1 species
GACAGCUUGGCCGAGUGGUUAAGGCGAUGGACUUGAAAUCCAUUGGGGUAACCUGCGUGAGUUCAAAUCUCACAGUUGUCG